rnacentral:rRNA from 1 species
AUUGAACGCUGGCGGCAGGCCUAACACAUGCAAGUCGAGCGGAUGAAGGGAGCUUGCUCCUGGAUUCAGCGGCGGACGGGUGAGUAAUGCCUAGGAAUCUGCCUGGUAGUGGGGGAUAACGUCCGGAAACGGGCGCUAAUACCGCAUACGUCCUGAGGGAGAAAGUGGGGGAUCUUCGGACCUCACGCUAUCAGAUGAGCCUAGGUCGGAUUAGCUAGUUGGUGGGGUAAAGGCCUACCAAGGCGACGAUCCGUAACUGGUCUGAGAGGAUGAUCAGUCACCCUGGAACUGAGACCCGGUCCAGACUCCUACGGGAGGCCGCAGUGGGGAAUAUUGGACAAUGGGCGAAAGCCUGAUCCAGCCAUGCCGCGUGUGUGAAGAAGGUCUUCGGAUUGUAAAGCACUUUAAGUUGGGAGGAAGGGCAGUAAGUUAAUACCUUGCUGUUUUGACGUUACCAACAGAAUAAGCACCGGCUAACUUCGUG